CAGCCGCCGCGGGAAUACGGAGGGUGCAAGCGUUAAUCGGAAUUACUGGGCGUAAAGCGUGCGUAGGUGGUGGUUUAAGUCCGUUGUGAAAGCCCUGGGCUCAACCUGGGAAUUGCAGUGGAUACUGGGUCACUAGAGUGUGGUAGAGGAUAGUGGAAUUUCCGGUGUAGCAGUGAAAUGCGUAGAGAUCGGAAGGAACAUCUGUGGCGAAGGCGACUAUCUGGGCCAACACUGACACUGAGGCACGAAAGCGUGGGGAGCAAACAGGAUUAGAUACCCCCGUAGUCCCUGUCUCUUAUAC
rnacentral:rRNA from 1 species